GUCAAGUCAUCAUGGCCCUUAUGUCCAGGGCUACACACGUGCUACAAUGGACGGUACAGAGCGCUGCGAAGCCGCGAGGCUCGAGCGAACCGCUUAAAGCCGUCCGUAGUCCGGAUUGAAGUCUGAAACCCGACUUCAUGAAGUUGGAAUCGCUAGUAAUCGCGCAUCAGCACGGCGCGGUGAAUACGUUCCCGGGCCUU
rnacentral:rRNA from 1 species